UUCUACACUAUUAUCAGAUGACUCAUUUUGGAAACAUGUAUCCUCUUAAAUUGACAAUUUUUUUAAAUUCAACUCAAAGAAGUAAGUCUCCCCCUCUCUCCUAUGGGAGACACUGAAAGUAGUGCUCAGGGGGGACAUUAUUUCAUAUAAUCCUUUUAUUAACAAAGAGAGGGAAAGCAAAAGCCAACAGCUAAUUUAGAUGAUAUCCAAAAUUUACAGUCAAUACUCUACUUUUCCUACACCAGAACUUUAUAAAGAAAGGAUUGAGCUUCAAAACGGGGGACUGCCCAAGGGUCUGACAAAGACGGCCCAUUUAUGACAGCCUACAAAACUGCCGCUUUCUUAUUAGCAGCAGGGCCUUAUUGUGCAUCCUGUUGGAAUAAAUCUUGCUGUAAACACGCUUUAGGAUUACAUACAAUAAAACGCAGCGACCUUGACACAUGCAUUCCCUGUUCUUAUUUACGGCAUGAGCUUUCCAUGCUCAGAAAUUCUAUGUGGAGACAUCACAGGUCUUGAGGCCAUUAAAGCCUUUUCGAAAGAAACUGCAGUGCUGUGAUGAGAAAAAAGGGGCUAUAGAAGAAGUAUACCCCACUCAGAUAGAGUAAGGUUUUUGCAUCUGAUAUUUUGUGCCAAAAAAUGGUGGCUUACAACCAAUAUUGGAUUUACACCAUUUGAAUCUUGCACUCAGGAUGAGCAAAUUCAAGUUUUGAGGGUAAAAUCUAUUCUGUCUCAGAUUCAACCAAUUGACUGGUUUGUCACGAUCGAUCUGAAGGAUGUAUGUUUUCAUAUUCAGAUCAUCAAGAGACAGGAAGUUCCUCAGCUUCACUUUAGAGGGCAUAGCGUAUCAAUAACGUGUUCUUCCCUUUGGAUUAGCACUGGCUCCAUGAAAUUUAACAAAAAGGAUGGAUGCACAACGUGGGCGGCACAUAAACAGAUUGGAGCUGGUAGCGGUCUUUGGCAAUGGACUGCGUCAUCAGAACAUCCACCUCUGACAUUUGGGCGCUCUUGGAGAGGAAGGCAGGAGAAUGAACAGGCCCAGGUACAAGGUCAUCAACCAAGAAUCCCUUGUCCACCAUUAUGGCCAUGUCAGUUGUUAAGAGUGAUGUAAUCCCUGACAGACGAAACACCUCUCAGUCGCUCAUGGAACCCUCAAAGAGUGCUGACACAAAAGUCAGGGCUCCGUGAGGGGACAUGCCCACCAUAGCCUUAAAGGUGCAGUGGGACUUGUAGUUGGAAAAACUUGACUCUGAAGGAGAAGGGAUGACGGUGUGACACCGUAGCUCUGUACAAUCAAGCACUACUGUGUGUCGCUGUAGCUGCCAUCAAAGUCAGGUGGAAGACUGGACUUCACAGCUGCAGGAGACCUCCAUACACAGACCGAGCCCAGUAAGCUGUAGAGGAAGUUGGCCCAGGUCAAAGAGCCAAACUGGUCAAAUUAUAGUCUUCAGAUUUACUUCAACAAGGCCCUUGUCUGUGGAGUACAUCUUGUCUUGGGAGCAGCCUUUGAUUUGACAUCUUGUGACACUCCAAUCAUACAGAGAUGAUGGACUCUUAUUCUUCUGGAGUUUUCUCUGAAAGGCACUGGACGUUUCCUCCAGCCUACCAUUAUUACAUUUUCACACUCUUCUGACCAGUCUGAAAUGAACUAAGAUACAUGUAUAUUACAGAGCAGAAACCCUACAAGAGGCCCUUCCACUCGGAUAACAGGCUAUACUUAAAUAUACAGUAUAUAUACUGUAUAUAUAUAUAUAAACACAUUAUUAAGAAAAAUUAAAGUUACAUUUUACUUUAGUAUCCUGUAAUGAAGGUGAUACAAAUAAUCUCAGACAGAAGUUCUCUCAUCUGCUCCGGGGCCAGUGGAAGAGCCCUGUUCCUUAUGAUGGAGGAAAAGGCCCUCGACAAUCUCCUGAAACAAUCAGACUGCCCUUCAUAUUUCCUCUUGUGUUCAGGGGAGUUUUUUUUGUGUUUGUGUGUGUUUCAUUGAAAUGUUGCAGGUAUCACAGAAAAAAUAUGCAUGUGUUCUUGACUUUGAAAAAAAAAUUGUGCCUCUGAUUUAAAUUUACCACUAACAACCUAAAAAAUCUGCUUAAUAUAAAAUAUAUUUUAAAGAAACUGCAUUUUAAUUUGCAUAUUGUUUCUUUCUGUAUUCUCUUGUUAUCUGGAAUGCUGUAUUUUUGUAGUGGAAUAA